rnacentral:rRNA from 1 species
CAAUAGCGUAUAUUUAAGUUGUUGCAGUUAAAAAGCUCGUAGUCGGAUUUUGGCUGAGAACGAUCGGUCCGCCGUUAGGUGUGCACUGAUUGGUCUCAGCUUCCUGGUGAGGAGGUGUGCUUCACGGCCACUUAGUCACCGUGGUUACUUUGAAAAAAUUAGAGUGUUCAAAGCGGGCUUACGCUUGAAUAUAUUAGCAUGGAAUAACACCAUAGGACUCCUGUCCUAUUUCGUUGGUCUCGGGACGGGAGUAAUGAUUAAGAGGAACAGUUGGGGGCAUUCGUAUUUAAUUGUCAGAGGUGAAAUUCUUGGAUUUAUGAAAGACGAACUUCUGCGAAAGCAUUUGCCAAGGAUGUUUUCAUUGA